ensembl:lncRNA
AAAACCAAAACUAUUGUUACUAACCCCUUGUAGAGAACCAACAUGAUCAAAAUCAAAUCACUUCAUUGGUGUGACCCUGCAAAGCACAAGGUGCCCUGAACAAAUUCAACUUGAUUGCUGAUGGGGUGGAUAAGAUAGCCCCAGCUGUUGUACACCUAAAGCUUUUCAAAAGGUUCCCAUUUUCAUACCAGGAGGUCCCUGUGUCAAGUGGUUCAGAGUUCAUUGUGUCAGUGGACUGCUGGAUAGUCACCAAAGCCCAUGUCCUAUCCUACAAGCAGAGAAUCAAAGUGGAGCUGAAGAGCUGUUUUCAAUAAGAUGCCUCCAACAAGGAAAUGGAAUCAAAAUUGAGUCGAAUAGUCCACUGCCAGUCCUGCUGGGCCACUCGUCUGAAGGCAUCAGCAGGGCCCAUUGGAACGGCCUGGAACUGGGAUUCAAAGACUCACAUGGAGUACAUCCAGACGGACGUCAUCAUUAAUGUAGGUCGUAGGCUUGCGACUCAAAUGGCACCCUAUUCCAUGAAUAGUGCACUACUUUUGACCAGAGCCUUGUUCAAAAGUAGUGCAAUAUAUAGGAAAUAAGGUGCAAUUUAGGAUGCACAUGUGAAAUAUGGCAGUCAAGCAGCAGUAUUUGGAGCAUUACCACAUGUGCAUCUCUUUACAUACCAUUACAUACUGUACAUACUAUACAUACUGAACCUAAAAGGGUUCUUCGGCUGUCC